UACGAAGGGGGCUAGCGUUGUUCGGAUUUACUGGGCGUAAAGCGCACGUAGGCGGAUUUGUCAGUCAGGGGUGAAAUCCCGGGGCUCAACCUCGGAACUGCCUCUGAUACAGCAAAUCUCGAGUCCGGAAGUGGUGAGUGGAACUCCUAGUGUAGAGGUGAAAUUCGUAGAUAUUAGGAAGAACACCAGUGGCGAAGGCGGCUCACUGGUCCGGAACUGACGCUGAGGUGCGAAAGCGUGGGGAGCAAACAGG
rnacentral:rRNA from 1 species